rnacentral:rRNA from 1 species
CAGUAGCCGCGGUAAUACCGAGGGUGCGAGCGUUAAUCGGAUUUACUGGGCGUAAAGCGUGCGUAGGCGGCUUCUUAAGUCGGAUGCGAAAUCCCUGAGCUUAACUUAGGAAUUGCAUUCGAUACUGGGAAGCUAGAGUAUGGGAGAGGAUGGUAGAAUUCCAGGUGUAGCGGUGAAAUGCGUAGAGAUCUGGAGGAAUACCGAUGGCGAAGGCAGCCAUCUGGCCUAAUACUGACGCUGAGGUACGAAAGCAUGGGGAGCAAACAGGAUUAGAUACCCGCGUAGUCCCUGUCUCUUAUAC